UAUGGUAAUUGUGUGCAGCCGCGGUAAUCCGUAGGGGGCAAGCGUUAUCCGGAAUUACUGGGUGUAAAGGGUGCGUAGGUGGUAUGGCAAGUCAGAAGUGAAAACCCAGGGCUUAACUCUGGGACUGCUUUUGAAACUGUCAGACUGGAGUGCAGGAGAGGUAAGCGGAAUUCCUAGUGUAGCGGUGAAAUGCGUAGAUAUUAGGAGGAACAUCAGUGGCGAAGGCGGCUUACUGGACUGAAACUGACACUGAGGCACGAAAGCGUGGGGAGCAAACAGG
rnacentral:rRNA from 1 species